AAAACAAAAUCCACUAUCAUAUUAUAUCAUAUAUUACCAAUAAUCAAAUAGCAUUACUUUUCACGGUUAUAUGUUUACGAACUAAAGAUAUCCUUCACCUUAUAACUAGCCAAAAACAUCAAAUACUUGUAGGACAAAUUGCAUCAAUAUCAAUUCUUCUCUAGUAAUGUAUGACUAAUUAACCAUUAUACAAUAAGUAUAAAUAGUUAGUGCAACGGACAAAU
rnacentral:misc_RNA from 1 species